AGUGGUCUCAGGGACUUGUAUGGGAUCUGAACUUCUUUGUAGAAGGUGUUGAGAGAAAAGAAGGCCGCUGUGACUUUAAGGCUGGAGUAGGUUGUUGGAGAAUUAUAGUAUACUGUGCUGGGAUGCAUGGGGAGCGGAGCAGUUUCUGGAGCUGAAGGAGUUAAGCCACUUCGGAUCAAUGAGAAGAUCUAUGUAAACCCUCAGCCUGGAGAAAAGAAAGAAAAACAAAGGGAAAAAAGAAAACUCUUCUCCAGAGUGAUUGUUUAAACCCCUCUGACAGCCCUGCAAAUGGAAUUUCACUUUCUUCUCAGGAAGUCCAGCCCAGAUUGUUUACUCUUAGCUGUGGACUCUUCCUCACUGUUUUUUCACCUUGAGUUAAUUGAUUGACUGCUACAUAGUAGUUAGUUAACACAGUGCCAAACCUGCAUGGAUGCUUCUCAAACACUUGUUGCAGUGCUGUUACUCUGAUCCAAGCCCUGGUAUCAACAUGGGGGGACAUAUUUGAGUAGAAAACCCUGUAGCAUCUUUUUACCUAUUGGUCUGCAUCAGUGUGACAUCCACAGAUUAUUUGUGGAUAUUACAAAUAGUAGGGCCAAAUGAUGACCAAGGUGACUUCUAAUAAAUAAAGUCUCUGUAAUUUUAGUAGCUGAGAUAAACCUUAGCAGCACACAAGUAACAUGUUAAAAUACCGAUCCCCUUAGAGGAGAUUGAAAGUAGAGAGUAUCUACACACAACCCAGCCAACACAAUGUAAAGGAGCAUCUUUAAAUUAAAACUAAAAGUUUAAUCAUGUCUUAGCAGAAAGCAAUUACCCAGGCUGAAAUCUGACCCAGCCAUUAGGAUUAAUAUUCCAUCCUCCUUGAAGGAAAUGCCUUUGUAUGGUUAGAUUUCAUAAACAGAUGGAGCCCUGGGUUUCCAUCUCAAGAGAAAGAGACAAAUAGUCAACAAGCAGUAGCUCUGGCAGUUGGCUUAUUGCAGAGAGCUAUGAAGAUGUCACCCUAUAUAUGGCUCAUGUCACAAUUCCCAUCACCUCUCUGGCAGUUUAGAGCCUGAUUGCAGCCAUGGUUAACACCUCAGCUAUGAUGUUUGCGUGCAUAAUAUAAAGCAUCUUGUACACAGACCAUAUUUUUCUUUCUCUUCCUUAAUUUGUUGUGCCUGCAUAAUAGUAUAUAUUUUUAUUCAAUCUUUUACAUAUAAAUGAGUUUUAUUGAAUAAAUGUUGCCAUUGUCCAUUCUCCACACCAUAUUUUAGCUCUGUAACUUUAGUGAGUUUAUGAUUCCUCUUCGAUUCCAUCGCAGUAACAAGUUUGUUUAUUGCUUUUUAAAUCUCCUGCGCUGACACUGUGUAAAAAUUAAGGACGUGGUUAAAUUUU